rnacentral:lncRNA from 1 species
GAAAUAAUCAUUUCAACACUUGGGCUGGAAUGCAGUGGAUGAAGAGUCCACACUAACCACCAGUCAAAGACACUGGUGCCCAGACUAAGGACUGAUUCUGAUGGACAUGCAGUCCCCACAUAUCCAGAACUCUCUACCCAGAUCCUUUGCAAUCUCCUUUUGCAGGAAUUCUCUUUACUAGCUUCCAGGUUCAGGCGUACAGAAACUUGAUCCUGUUUAUCUUCUUGAAACUCCUUGUGGACCACAGUUCCAUGGAAUCAUUCCAGUUUUGAAUUAACAAUCUUCAGCUUGGAAAGGUCAGAAGAAACAACGAUAAGACAAAACCAAAGCCCAAGAUAAGCACUAGGAUUGGAAGAAUGACUCAAAAAAAAACCUUUAUUCUCACAAUCUGGGUAGAAGAAAUGUGAAUAUUUUGGAGGUGAAAAGACAGUUCUUUGAAACAGAUCUUUGAGGAGCCAGAGAACACAAAAGAUGGGCCACGGUGGUUUACAUUUCCAAAGACCAGAG